CGACAAGCACCACUUUAUGUACUUUUCCCGUAGCUGAGCAACAUCCAACUGCAAAACAUCUUCAAGUAACACUGACUUCAGAUACCUGUGCACUCCCUCAUCUGCAAUAAACAAGGAGCCAAUCCGAGGGAAGACAGAGAGUCGAGGAAAAGCAGAAGGGAUGGGUUAGAUAUGGAAAAAAUGUAAAAAUAGAUGGAUCAAAUGAAAAGAAAAAGGAACUUCUACCCCUGAGGGGGGCUCCACAACCUCACAGGAGCCGGUGAGGCAAAGAACAAAAUAUCCAGCAACAAGGAAAAAAUGUAGAAGAACGCUAACAAUGGAAUAACAAGAGAAGAAAGGAGUGACGGAGAUCCAGGGAUUUGUCAAUUUCCUUUUGGAGCUUACUGGAUGUUUCAACCAUGAACUUGAGUUUGACCUUUGCCUCCUUUCUUUUCCUGAGUCUUCACUCUUGUACAGAAAAGCUUUGUGAGCUGCUGAAAUGCCACAGUCCAGUGGGAUCUUGGUGCCAGGGAGUUCUGGAAAAUGGAGUACUCGUCCCCAAGUGCGUUUGUCCUCAGUCCUGUCCAAGCCCUACCUUACCCUAUUGGAUAAGAACAAGCUGAGCCACAGGGACCUGAGGAAGCUGUGAUACAAAAUGAUGCCACCGGAGCACCGGGCUUCAUCAAUCUCUCAGUCAGUCCCACCUGCAAGCCUCCAAGGAAAUUAGCUUUUGAACAAACAAGUGACUUCUUUUUUUUUUAGAUGAUUAGCUCAGCUGGCUAAACUUUGAAUUCAUUAAAUGUAGGCAUGUUUUUUUUCCUAAAAAGUGAGAAGCGCAUAACACUCACAUAAUUCAACUAAUGAACUCACUUGUGUUGCAUGUGUUUUCAGGAAACCAACCGCAUGGAAGAAAAAAAGCAGUGAUUACAUGGCCUGUUGGAUAAGUAGUUGAAAUGAUGAUCCUAUACCAUAAGGGGACUGAGUAGUCAAUAAUGUUUGGGCAGUGCUGCUCACACUAAGGUUCACAAUGUGAACCUUCUGUCUCUUGCAAUAUGUUACUUCACUGCUAAUUACUGAAACACCGAGGGUUAAAAGUGUCACACGACGAUGCUUUUCGCCCCCGCUCUGUGACCAAGUUGCACCUCCCACCAUGCUGUUCUCUCUGCACGCCAUCUAUCUAUCCAUCCAUUCAUCGUCCAUGCCAACACCCGCUUCCUGUGUCCUCCUCCCCUCCGGUCUCACGACCGCACCAUCGCUCCAUCAUCUUACUCCUCCUCCACGUUGGAGCGCUUGUUUCCCCCUUCAGUGCUUCCUACUCUCAUCUUCAAAUAGACUUAUCCUCGGCCUCCUUUCCUGUCGAUCCUUUCUUCAUUUCCACUCGUUCUUUCCAUCUCUCCCCAUUCUUCAUCCUCCACUCUCCCAACCCCCUUUUUCCCUGCCAGUCUGCAGUGACAGGUUUUGUGGGAGUAGGACUGGCUGUGUCAAUGUCAAGCCAUUCCCAGCAAUGAUAAUGUUUAUUACCCACUGUGUCUCCCGCUGCCCAUGGAUUAACACAGAUUGAAGCAGUACCCUUCAGAGAUAACAUUGCAGGGUGAACGGAAAGACAAUGGCUGUCUAGCUAGCCCCGAUCUGAUCUGUGAUGGCUGCCUUGCAUCAUUCACUCUCUCACUCUCUCUCUCUCAAGGGACAUUGACAGCGCAGGAGGAGCAGAUGGGCGGCUGCUGGU
ensembl:lncRNA